CAGCCGCCGCGGUAAAACGGAGGGAGCUAGCGUUGUUCGGAAUCACUGGGCGUAAAGCGCACGUAGGCGGCUAUUCAAGUCAGGGGUGAAAGCCCGGGGCUCAACCCCGGAACUGCCUUUGAAACUAGAUAGCUUGAAUCUUGGAGAGGCGAGUGGAAUUCCGAGUGUAGAGGUGAAUUUCGUAGAUAUUCGGAAGAACACCAGUGGCGAAGGCGACUCGCUGGACAAGUAUUGACGCUGAGGUGCGAAAGCGUGGGGAGCAAACAGGAUUAGAUACCCCAGUAGUCCCUGUCUCUUAUAC
rnacentral:rRNA from 1 species